UACGUAGGGGGCGAGCGUUGUCCGGAUUUAUUGGGCGUAAAGAGCUCGUAGGCGGCUUGGCAAGUCGGGUGUGAAACCUCCAGGCUCAACCUGGAGACGCCACUCGAUACUGCUAUGGCUAGAGUCCGGUAGGGGACCACGGAAUUCCUGGUGUAGCGGUGAAAUGCGCAGAUAUCAGGAGGAACACCGGUGGCGAAGGCGGAUCUCUGGGCCGUAACUGACGCUGAGGAGCGAAAGCAUGGGUAGCGAACAGG
rnacentral:rRNA from 1 species